UACAGAGGUCUCAAGCGUUGUUCGGAUUCAUUGGGCGUAAAGGGUGCGUAGGCGGCGCGGUAAGUCGGGUGUGAAAUCUCGGAGCUUAACUCCGAAACUGCAUUCGAUACUGCCGUGCUUGAGGACUGGAGAGGAGACUGGAAUUUACGGUGUAGCGGUGAAAUGCGUAGAUAUCGUAAGGAAGACCAGUGGCGAAGGCGGGUCGUCGUGGGACGGUACUGACGCUGAGACGCGAAAGCGUGGGGAGCGAACAGG
rnacentral:rRNA from 1 species